GUAGCCAUGUGGAAGAGCAUGCUGAACCACGUCAUAAACAUGCACGCUGGCCAUGACAGCCCUUAUCCGAGGUGUCUGCACGGGGAUGUGCAAAAUGGAAAGUGGUUGACACCAGGCACCCCGGCUUACGCACGUCU
rnacentral:lncRNA from 1 species